AAGUCGUAACAAGGUAACCGUAGGUGAACCUGCGGUUGGAUCAUUACUGAAUUUUGUAAGUGUUUCGGCACUUUACAAUCAAUGAGGAGGUUUGCUUGUUGAAAGACAGCACUCUGACUCAACACCCAACCCUUGUGAAUUUGAAAACGUCAAUGUAAUUUCCCUUGUGGAAUAGUGUUUUGGUUAGUUGGACUUGUCCAUCUACUGAAACAUUUCUUCGCAAGGGGGUUACUCUUGUUUAAAAACAUUAUUAUUUUACAACUUUUUACUUUUACUUUUUGUAUUGCUUAUGCUUCGGCACUAGUCUUUAUAAGAAUAUUAAAUUGAAAACAACUUUUGACAACGGAUCUCUUGGUUCUC
rnacentral:misc_RNA from 1 species